rnacentral:lncRNA from 1 species
UUUUUCUUUUUUUUUUUUUUUUUUUUNUUGCUUUUUAGGGACGUACCUGUGGCAUAUGGAAAUACCCAUGCUAGGGGUCGAAUAGGAGCUACAGCCAUUGGCCUACACUACAGCUCAUGGCAACACUGGAUCCCCAACUCACCGAGUGAGGCCAGGGAUUGAACCCUCAUCCUCAUGGAUAAUUUAUGCUGCAGUAUUCUCUGCUUUGGUCACUGUUCUUGGUAUCUUUUCUAUUCUACCCUUUAAGAAAAACAUUUCAAGGUUUCUGGGGUUUGUGUUGGUAGUUUACAGCUUAAAGGAUUUUCUGAUGCCCAUUCUCUUAGCUACACCCAUCAGUAUCAGUGGGUAUGUUUUCAUAUAGCUUGUUUAGACUAAGAAGAUGUUCAUGAAAGUGAAAUGAUUUUCAGGUGCUUUUGAUUCAUGUGAGGAGCACUAGAACAAUAUCUCAAUUCAUGAUACAGAUGCAUAUUUCAAUUCUGAUUCAAGCACUCAAGUUGGUCAAUCCAUAACUUGGAGAAGGUAAAUAGAACUUCUUUUACAUGUAAAGAAAUUGGGUAUCAGAGAAGUAAAACCUGGCUUUGCCUGUACUGAGAUGAAACCAUUUAUAGGCUUUACCUGUGCUACAUAGUGUGAGCAUUCAUUCACUUCACUACAGAAAUAGGUUUAGAUCACAGCAUGCUGCCCCAGAGCCUGCUGGAAACAUUCUAUGAUACACAGUAUCCAUAUGGACCUUACUGCCAUAAACUCUGAAUUCUCAGUCACACCUGGUCCCAAGGAUUUUCAGUAAGGGAUUGUUGACCUAUAGUUAUUUUCUUUCCAGAAUAGUCAUUCAGGCAAUUUGGUACUUAGAAGCAUAAAUAUAGUGAUGAUAUAUUCUAAAUAUUACAGAACAAUUCUGAUUUCCAGAAUUCCUUUUUAACUUGUAGUUUCUGUGCAAGCCACAGGACACGAUUUUAUAUUUUGAAAGUUAUGAAUAUACUUAUUAUUAGACCUACAAUUCAAACCAGUGUGUAAUUGUACACCAUUAGAGAAAAUUAGAAAACAUUUUUUAAAAUUUACGCUGUUCCCCAAAAGCCGAUGACAAUGUCUGGGAAACAACUUGAUUCUACCUUCUAAUUUUCCUUCCCUUUUAUUAACAAAAUCACAACAUGACUAGGUCACAAACCAGUAAAUUGCAUUUGACAGCUGAAUGUCACUGUUACCUGUAGGUAAUGGUCUCUUCUGCCUGGCACAUACACAGUAGGCAUGUACCAAUUAUUUAAUGGAUAAAUAAGUUAAAUUAUAACACUUUCAUGGCUGGCUUAAUCCUGUAAGUAAUAAUUGACUUAUAUUACCUCUUAUCACCUGAUUGUUUUCUCAUGAUUGUUUUUAGCUAGUGAAGUGGUUUCAGACAUUGGAAAGAAGUAGAGUAUUGUUUAUGAAACCAUAGAUGGCCUGGAUGGGAGACUGAAUUGGAAUCCUUGAUUCCCAGUACAGAGAAGGCCCUUGAUAUUUAAGAAUAAAAAUAACAGCUGAGCUUUAUGUCGUGUGUUUAAUGCCAUGACCAUAAAGCCAUUACUGUAACGCCUACGUUUAUUUUCUUAAGGAAGCCGCUGAACCGCCCUCAGAAUGGCUUAGUUUUUAGUGACUAUGGUUUUCCUUUGGGACCUCGAUUCCAAGAAGACGCAGUUUUGUCAAAGGCUCUUUCAUCCUGUUUCUUUAAAAAAAAGUACCCUGCAAUAGGUAAAACAUCUUUAGAUAGAAAAAGUAGUCAGCCUACACCAAAUCUUCCCCUACCUCCUUCCUCUUUCAUUUCCCACUUGUGCUUGUGUACUACUAACUAUAUUGAGGGUACAUGGCCACUAAGGUUUAAGGUUUUUUGAGAGCAGGGGCUGUAUCAUAUUUACUUUCACUUUUCCUUCUGUGCUUAAAACAGGACUUCUACUUCUUCAGCAAAUAUUCGUUGAGUAUCCACUAGGUGUCAGAUAUACUAGGUAGAGUCUGGGGAUACCAAGAUAACUAAACAGGGACACAGGGAGAUGCCCUUUGGAAUCUAACAGUCUUAUGUGGGAGAGGGGAAAAAUGGAUCUGUAAGCCAAAAAAAGCUACAGUAUAAUACUACAGUGGAUAGAUGAUUUCCCGGUUUAAAAAUUCUAAAAUCUCUGAAAAUAUCUCUCCACGAAAUUUGAUUGAGCAACUAAAUUUCUACCACUAGAAUAUUAUUCUUUAUAAGACCAGCGUUGCAUUUUGGUUGCCCCUAAAGGUUAUUAAUGGGCUAUAAAAUGAUAUUUUUCCCCCUCUUAAAACAUUUUAAUUUUUAAAUUUACAUAGUAAGAUUCACUCUUUUUGAUGUAUAAUUCUGAGUUUUCACAAAUGCCAAAUCAUGUAAUAACCAUAAUUGAGAUAUGGAACAGUUCUACCACCUCCCAAAAUUCUCUUGUGCUGCCCCUUUUUAUAAUUUGUUGUGACAAAAAAUAAUUUUAUUCUUCAAAAAUUAUUGUUUGAAUGUUCCAUGUAUUCAAAAAAAAAUAUGUGGCGUUCCCGCUGUGGCACAGUGCAUUCAGAAUUCAACAGCAGGGAGUUCUCGUGGCACAGCAGAAACAAAUCCUACUAGUAUGCGUAAGAAUGCUGAUUUGAUCCCUGGCCUCACUCUAGCAUUGCCGUGAACUGUGGUGUAGGUCACAAAUUCGGCUCGAAUCCCACAUUGCUGUGGCUGUGGUGUAGGUGGAUUUGCCCCCUGGCCUGGGAACUUACAUA